CCCUAGUAACUGCGAGUGAAGAGGGAAAAGCUCAAAUUUAAAAUCUGGCAGCUUCGCUGUCCGAGUUGUAAAUUAGAGAAGUGUUACCCGUGUUGGACCGUGUACAAGUCUCCUGGAACGGAGCGUCAUAGAGGGUGAGAAUCCCGUCUUUGACACGGACUACCAAUGCAUUGUGGUACACUCUCAAAGAGUCGUGUUGUUUGGGAAUGCAGCACUAAAUGGGUGGUAAAUUCCAUCUAAAGCUAAAUAUUGGCGAGAGACCGAUAGCGAACAAGUACCGUGAGGGAAAGAUGAAAAGAACUUUGGAAAGAGAGUUAAACAGUACGUGAAAUUGUUGAAAGGGAAACGCUUAAAGUCCAGUCGCGUUGAGUGGAAAUCAGUCUCGCUCUUUUGCUUGAUGUACUUUCUACUUGAUGGGUCAACAUCAGUUUUGACCGUUGGAUAAAGGUUGGGGGAAUGUGGCACCUUCGGGUGUGUUAUAGCCCUUGAUUGUAUACAACGGUUGGGACUGAGGCAUCACGCCGCAAGGCGCUUGGAUGUUGACAUAAUGGCUUUAAUCGACCCGUCUUGAAACACGGACCAAGGAGUCUAACAUGCUUGCGAGUAUUUGGGUGGUAAACUCAUAUGCGCAAUGAAAGUGAAAGUUGAGAACUCGUUAGAGUGCAUCGACGCCCAUACCAGAUGUUUUACUGACGGCUAUGCGGUAGAGCAAGUAUGUUGGGACCCGAAAGAUGGUGAACUAUGCCUGAAUAGGGUGAAGCCAGAGGAAACUCUGGUGGAGGCUCGUAGCGAUUCUGACGUGCAAAUCGAUCGUCAAAUUUGGGUAUAGGGGCGAAAGACUAAUCGAACCAUCUAGUAGCUGGUUCCUGCCGAAU
rnacentral:rRNA from 1 species